rnacentral:rRNA from 1 species
UUAAGCCUACGGGGCGCAGCAGUGGGGAAUAUUGGACAAUGGGGGAAACCCUGAUCCAGCGACGCCGCGUGAGUGAAGAAGUAUUUCGGUACGUAAAGCUCUAUCAGCAGGAAAGAAAAUGACGGUACCUGACUAAGAAGCCCCGGCUAACUACGUGCCAGCAGCCGCGGUAAUACGUAGGGGGCAAGCGUUAUCCGGAUUUACUGGGUGUAAAGGGAGCGUAGACGGCAGCGCAAGUCUGGAGUGAAAUGCCGAGGCCCAACACCGGAACUGCUCUGGCAAAUGUGAAGCUGGAGUGCAGGAGA